CCACUCUGACUCUCUAAUGGACCAAUUUUAUUCCUCGUUAUCCUUUUGCUAUUAAUAUAGCUGUAGAAACCCUUUGGAUUUACUUUCACCUUACUUGCCAAAGCAACCUCGUAUAUUCUUUUAGCUUUUCAAAUUUCUUUCUCAAGAUUCUUUUUAGAUUCUUUAUACUUGGCCUCUACCACAUCAGUUGCA